rnacentral:misc_RNA from 1 species
AGAUGAAGAAUCGAGAGUUUCAGGGGCUGUUGAUUUUUCCUUUUCUGGUGUUUUCAUCUCUGUAAUAACAGUUGCCUCCUCACUCAUAUUGCUCAUGGACGUGCUUAUGGGUUCAUCUACAUUUAAGAAAAGUGAUUAAUUUAUCCAUAUAAUUCAUCAAAAUUACACAGAGAGGGAGAGAGAGAAAUCAUCAAUGAAUUAUAAAGAAAAUUGAAUAUCUAAUUAAAGCAGGAGAUGAGGUAUUUAUGCAGUUCGUUCAGUUUAAAUCACCUGAAACUCCACGAAUACUACCGGUAAUGCGGCUCAUGCAACUAAAAUUCUCCGAAUCCCACUCGAAGUUUUCAUUCCAGUAGCUCUUUUCAAGAUGAUGAUCAUCAGUGUAGAACAUCAAGCGUCGUCGUUUAGAACGUUCACUAAAUUCAACCAAAGCAUCUUCUAAAUACCCAGU